UGUGCCCUACGGGACGCAGCAGUGGGGAAUAUUGCACAAUGGGGGAAGCCCUGAUGCAGCGACGCCGCGUGAAGGACGAAGUAUUUCGGUACGUAAACUUCUAUCAGCAGGGAAGAAAAUGACGGUACCUGACCAAGAAGCCCCGGCUAACUACGUGCCAGCAGCCGCGGUAAUACGUAGGGGGCAAGCGUUAUCCGGAUUUACUGGGCGUAAAGGGUGCGUAGGCGGCCUGCUAAGUCUGGAGUGAAAGGUACCGGCUCAACCGGUACAGGCUCUGGAAACUGGCGGGCU
rnacentral:rRNA from 1 species